rnacentral:rRNA from 1 species
AUUGAACGCUGGCGGCAGGCUUAACACAUGCAAGUCGAGCGAGCGGCGGACGGGUGAGUAAUGUCUGGGAAACUGCCUGAUGGGGGGGGAUAACUACUGGAAACGGUAGCUAAUACCGCAUACCAUCCGAGGUGCCCAGAUGGGAUUAGCUAGUAGGUGGGGUAAUGGCUCACCUCGGCGACGAUCCCUAGCUGGUCUGAGAGGAUGACCACCAACACUGGAAUGGAGACACGCCCCAGCCGCCUACGGAAGGCAGCGGUGGGGAAUUUUGCCCAAUGGGCGCAAGCCUGCUGAAGACAGGCCGGGGGUGUGAAGAAGGCCUUCGGGUUGUAAAGCACUUUCAGCGGGGAGGCGUUACUCGCAGAAGAAGCACCGGCUAACUCCGUGCCAGCAGCCGCGGUAAUUC